rnacentral:rRNA from 1 species
CCCGAAAGCUAUUUAGGUAGCGCCUCGUGAAUUCAUCUCCGGGGGUAGAGCACUGUUUCGGCUAGGGGGCCAUCCCGGCUUACCAACCCGAUGCAAACUGCGAAUACCGGAGAAUGUUAUCACGGGAGACACACGGCGGGUGCUAACGUCCGUCGUGAAGAGGGAAACAACCCAGACCGCCAGCUAAGGUCCCAAAGUCAUGGUUAAGUGGGAAACGAUGUGGGAAGGCCCAGACAGCCAGGAUGUUGGCUUAGAAGCAGCCAUCAUUUAAAGAAAGCGUAAUAGCUCACUGGUCGAGUCGGCCUGCGCGGAAGAUGUAACGGGGCUAAACCAU